rnacentral:rRNA from 1 species
AAAAGUCGUAACAAGGUUUCCGUAGGUGAACCUGCGGAAGGAUCAUUACCGAGUGAGGGCCCUCUGGGUCCAACCUCCCACCCGUGUUUAUCGUACCUUGUUGCUUCGGCGGGCCCGCCUCACGGCCGCCGGGGGGCAUCCGCCCCCGGGCCCGCGCCCGCCGAAGACACCAAUGAACUCUUGUCUGAAGAUUGCAGUCUGAGCAGAUUAGCUAAAUCAGUUAAAACUUUCAACAACGGAUCUCUUGGUUCCGGCAUCGAUGAAGAACGCAGCGAAAUGCGAUAAGUAAUGUGAAUUGCAGAAUUCAGUGAAUCAUCGAGUCUUUGAACGCACAUUGCGCCCCCUGGUAUUCCGGGGGGCAUGCCUGUCCGAGCGUCAUUGCUGCCCUCAAGCACGGCUUGUGUGUUGGGCUUCGCCCCCCGGCUCCCGGGGGGCGGGCCCGAAAGGGAGCGGCGGCACCGCGUCCGGUCCUCGAGCGUAUGGGGCUUUGUCACCCGCUCUGUAGGCCCGGCCGGCGCCCGCCGGCGACCCCAAAUCAAUCUAUCCAGGUUGACCUCGGAUCAGGUAGGGAUACCCGCUGAACUUAAGCAUAUCAAUAA